AUUGAACGCUGGCGGCACGCCUAACACAUGCAAGUCGAGCGGCAGCGAGACUAGUAGCAAUACUAGUUGUCGGCGAGCGGCGGACGGGUGAGUAACGCGUAGGAACUUGCCUUUAAGAGGGGGAUAACCAGAGGAAACUUUGGCUAAUACCGCAUAGACUCGAGAGAGGAAAGCUGCCCGCGAGGGUGGCGCUUGAAGAGAGGCCUGCGUCCGAUUAGCUAGUUGGUGAGGUAAAGGCUUACCAAGGCGAUGAUCGGUAACUGGUCUGAGAGGACGACCAGUCACACUGGGACUGAGACACGGCCCAGACUCCUACGGGAGGCAGCAGUGGGGAAUAUUGGACAAUGGGGGCAACCCUGAUCCAGCGAUGCCGCGUGAGUGAAGAAGGCCUUCGGGUCGUAAAGCUCUUUAGGUUGGGAAGAAGUUUGUGAGAUGAAUAGUCUUGCAAGUUGACGGUACCGACAGAAUAAGCACCGGCAAACUCUGUGCCAGCCGCCGCGGUAAAAC
rnacentral:rRNA from 1 species